ACGCUCGACACCUACGGGAGGCAGCGGUGGGGAAUAUUGCACAAUGGGGGAAACCCUGAUGCAGCGACGCCGCGUGGAGGAAGAAGGUCUUCGGAUUGUAAACUCCUGUUGUUGGGGAAAAAGAGGAUGGUACCCAACAAGGAAGUGACGGCUAACUACGUUCCAGCAGCCGCGGUAAUCUGAGCGGGCUGGCAAGGC
rnacentral:rRNA from 1 species